rnacentral:rRNA from 1 species
CAGCCGCCACGGUAAUACGUAGGGUGCAAGCGUUAAUCGGAAUUACUGGGCGUAAAGCGUGCGCAGGCGGUUAUAUAAGACAGAUGUGAAAUCCCCGGGCUCAACCUGGGAACUGCAUUUGUGACUGUAUAGCUAGAGUACGGCAGAGGGGGAUGGAAUUCCGCGUGUAGCAGUGAAAUGCGUAGAUAUGCGGAGGAACACCGAUGGCGAAGGCAAUCCCCUGGGCCUGUACUGACGCUCAUGCACGAAAGCGUGGGGAGUAAACAGGAUUAGAUACCCCUGUAGUCCCUGUCUCUUAUAC